rnacentral:rRNA from 1 species
ACGCUCGACACCUACGGGAGGCUGCAGUGGGGAAUAUUGCACAAUGGGGGAAACCCUGAUGCAGCGACGCCGCGUGAGCGAAGAAGUAUCUCGGUAUGUAAAGCUCUAUCAGCAGGGAAGAAGAUGACGGUACCUGACUAAGAAGCACCGGCUAAAUACGUGCCAGCAGCCGCGGUAAUCUGAGCGGGCGUGGCAAGGC